GACGAACGCUGGCGGCGUGCUUAACACAUGCAAGUCGAACGGAAAGGCCCUGCUUUUGUGGGGUGCUCGAGUGGCGAACGGGUGAGUAACACGUGAGUAACCUGCCCUUGACUUUGGGAUAACUUCAGGACACUGGGGCUAAUACCGGAUAGGAGCUCCUGCUGCAUGGUGGGGGUUGGAAAGUUUCGGCGGUUGGGGAUGGACUCGCGGCUUAUCAGCUUGUUGGUGGGGUAGUGGCUUACCAAGGCAUUGACGGGUAGCCGGCCUGAGAGGGUGACCGGGCACAUUGGGACUGAGAUACGGCCCAGACUGCUACGGGAGGCAGCAGUGGGGAAUGUUGCACAAUGGGCGGAAGCCUGAUGAAGCAACGCCGCGUGUGGGAUGAUGGCCUUCGGGUUGUAAACCUCUUCCGGCGGUGACGAAGCGUGAUUGACGGUAAUGGGUAAAGAAGCACCGGCUAACUACGUG
rnacentral:rRNA from 1 species